AUAGAUUCUAGUAGUAAAGAAGAUGGUAUAGAAGUAAUAGAUUCUAGUAGUAAAGAAGAUGGUAUAGAAGUAAUAGAUUCUAGUAGUAAAGAAGAUGGUAUAGAAGUAAUAGAUUCUAGUAGUAAAGAAGAUGGUAUAGAAGUAAUAGAUUCUAGUAGUAAAGAAGAUGGUAUAGAAGUAAUAGAUUCUAGUAGUAAAGAAGAUGGUAUAGAA